UUCAAUGUUGCAGCCCUUGAUGCCACGUGGAGGGCCAGGAGCGGGUCCGCGGCGGAGAAGCCCAGGCGGCGGAUGGGGCGGAGGCGGAGGGAUGCGGUGGUGGUGGUGGCGGGGGAGAGGUGGAUGAGGGAGGAGCGGGUGGAAGGGGUGGAUGAGGUGGUGGUGGAACGGAGGAGAGAGAAAGUGGUGUGUGGUGCUGCUGAGGCCAUUUUAGAGAGAGAAAGUGGUGUAUGAAAGAGAAUGUGUUUUGUUUUUUUGGAGGGAUUAAGGAAGAGUGGUUAUUAUGUUAAUAGGGCAAAGGGAGUGAAGUGAAGAUGUGGACUAAGAAAAGAAUGGAAAUGAUUGGGUGUGGUGAGGGGAUUUUAGAUUUCUCUUAUCAGUGAUGAGAGGUUCAUGAUGUUCUUGCUUUCUUUUCACCCAUAUCCUGUGCUCUCAUUGUCUUCUACUUUUUUUUUGUUGGUUAUUAUUUUUUGUAUCUCUAUCAUCUUAUGAUAAAGAACUAAUCUCAAUUAUUUUGGAUAUGAUUAUAUUUUUAAUAAAUGUCGCUUACGAGAAUCAAAUAUUUGAUUUUUUGGUCAUUUUUUUGGAUUCAAUUACUAGACCAAUGCAUUGUUAGUUUUUUUGUUGAUUACAUGAUAAGGUAGUGAAAAAUGGAUGAUUUUGGAUCCUCAUAUAUGAAAAAUCAUUCAUCAAUCCAUAGAAAUUCAUACAAUGAUAUUUUAAAUUAUUUAAUUCAUUCAUAUUCAAACUUAAGAACAAUUUGGUCCAAUCCAUUAAUUAAUCAAUUUUAAUAAAUUUGGAUGAAUGAAUAUCCAAUUCAGUUGUUUUUUUUUUAAUUUGAACUAAAAAUAUUAUUAAAUAAAAUCAUUAAUUCAGUAAAACAUUUUUAAAAUCACAAUAAAACAAACUUUUAAAAAUCCUUCUAAAAUCAGCUUUAAAAAAACUUUUACAAAUCAUUUUUUGGUAAAAGUGUUUUUACUUUGUAAAAAUUAUUUUUUAUAAUAUUCUACAAAUAUGUAAUAUUUGAGGUUUUAUGCAUAAUUUUUUUAAUGGAUCUCAAUUUAAUAUAAAAUUCAAAGAGAAUGAAAAACAUUACAAGAAAAUGAGAGUUGCAAUAGUGAAUGAAAUUGAAAAACAAAGAACACAUGUAUUUUAUUUUUUUGGAUGGAUAAGAUAUGCAUCCAGAUGAAUAUACUCAUGGAUAUUCAUUAGAUACAAUGAAUGAAUUCAAAUGCAUUCAUUACUAAAGUUAUUCAUUGAAUUAUGCUAUUUAAAUCUAUGAACUUUAAUAGAUGAAUUUUAUUUUCUUGCAUUUGGAUGAAUUGUGUAUUAUGGAUAAUUUUAUCACAUCUAAUUUUGAUUGAGAAGAAAAUGUGGUAGAAGUUAUUUUGGGUGAAUUGUGUUAAAGUUAUUCUCACCAUAGGCUUAGUUCGGUUGAGGACUCAGCUUGGAGUACCUAAGUAUUGUAUCACAAUGAGUGGAUAUGUGAAAAUGAACUUUAACGCUCAAGUUAAUAUGCAUAGAGGGUGAAAGAUAUGUAGAGAAAUAUAGUAAGAGAAGGUAAUUAGUAUGUUGAAGAUACUUCUUGUAUUUAGUAGUCUCCUAUAUUUAUACCAAUGUAAAUGAGUUUACAUAGCACCAAACGGAGGUUUAUGGAUAUUACGAUUGAUGCCAUCCUUCUAUCUUGUUGAUGAGUUGUUUGGCAGACCUAUGUCUGAACCUAUGGUGGCUCCUAGAUUCCUUGAAGGUGGGUCUUCUCUCAUUAAUUACCAUGUUGGUCGGAUCGAUCCUAAACCUAGUUGGUCAUAGUGGGUCGUUCUAUCAUGGGCUAGUUUUGUUGAUCUUAUGGAUUUUAGUAGGCCAACUUAGACCAUUUUUAGCUAGUCAAAUAUGAUAUAGACCUGCAUGCAAGAGCAAAAAAUUGAUUUCAUUCUUGAUUGAUGAUUAUUCACAUUAUGAAUAUUUCUAUUUGUCAUAUAGGUAAUCUCAAAAUAUGAAUGCUUUAAAAAGAUUCAUUAAUACUCAAAAGGCACACUUUUGUGAGGAACUUGGUCUCAUGUGGAUGACUCAUACUUAAUGGAGGAAAUUGUUGGGAAUAAAGUAUAAGCAAGUUAAGUCCCAAGUCCGAGAAGAAUGAAUAAAGUGAGAAAGAUGUUAAUGAAUAAACUCACAUGUUGGAAAUGUUUGAAAUAUGUUAUUAUAUAAAGUCACAUAUUGCCUAGUAUUAGAAUAAAGUAGAGUAUCAAUGUUAUAUAUUAGACUCAAGUCCCUUGUUGUAAUGUGCACCAAAUAUAAGCACCCAAUAGAAACAUAACAUGUGCAGUUAGGCCCAUGUGUGUGCUAGGGUUUGUAAACUUUAUUCUCUAAUAAUAUCUUGGUAGCUGCUCAGCACGCUCCCGGAGAUGUAGGCACAAUUGGUCAAACUCCGUUAACAAAUUCUCUUGUUUCUUCUCUUCUAUUUAUGCACAUUAUUUGAUUGCUUGUGGUCAACACUGCACAAUGAUCGCUUCCGGUAAGGAUAUACGGAAAUGAGUAAAAUAGUUUAUAAGGAGGAAAGACCCAUGGAACUAAUGCCUUAAGGUUUUGGUUUAAGGCGUGGUGUCUCACUUGUAGCUCUCCAUUCUUCCCAUACCCUAGUAACAAUGGAACUUCUCGGUGGUUGGAGACUUCGUGGUCGCAGUUUGGUCCAACAAGUGGUAUCAAAGCCAAUGGUUCGGCUAGGACAUGGUGGAAUUAAGGGGGACCAGACCAGAAAGUAUAUGGUACCCACACUGGGAGAUUGUUGAGUUUAUUCAAGUGUGGAGUCCCACAUUAGAUAUAUGGGAAUGAGUAAACAUGUUUAUAAGAAGGAAAGAUCCACGGAACUAAUGCCUUAAGGUUUUGGUUCAAGACGUGGUGUCUCACUUGUGGCUCCCUACUUUUCCCAUACCCUAGUAACAAUAGGACUUCCCGGUGGGUGAAGGCUCCCCGGUCGCGGUUUGGUCCAACAAGUGGUAUUAGAGCUGGGACAUGGUGGACUUAAGGGGGAGUGGACCAGAAAGUGGGUGGUACCCACACUUGAGGGGGAGAUUGUUGAGUAUAUUUGAAAUAUGUUAUUAUAUGAAGUCUCAUAUUGCCUAGCAUUAGAAUAUAGUAGAAUAUCAAUGUUAUAUAUUGGACUCAGGUCCCUUGUUAUAAUGUGCACUAGAUAUAAGCACCAAAUAGAAACACCUCAUGGGCACUUGGGCCCAUGAGUGUGCUAGGGUUUGUAAUCCUUAUUCUUUAAUAAUAUCUUGGUAACCACUCAACGCUCCCGGAGAUCUAGGCGCAAUUGGCUGAACCCCGUUACCAAAUUAUCUUGUUUCUUCACUUCUAUUUAUUAUAUGCACAUUAUUUGAUUGUUUGUAGCCAACGUUGUGCAACGAUUGCUUCCGCUGAUCUAACAAUUGGUAUCAGAGCCAAUUAAUAGAUGACUCUUAACCUAGAUAACAGAUAAUGGCUAAAGAUGGUGAAGAACGUGUUGGCUGGACAAGGUUUGUCAGAGGUACUGCAUGAGGAUAAAUUAGAUGAGUUGAAGGAGAAGGACAUAUGGUGAAACUAUGGUGGGGGCAAUAUAUAUGUUGAUCCAGAACCCCAGAAGUUCAUGUACUGGAUUAGGAUCAAGGUGGAGAUAUGGACUCAUGUGUUGAGUUUGGCCUUGAGACAGAUGCUGACAAUAUCUCUCUAGAUGUUGAGAGAACGUUCUCAUUUGAGAUGAGAAGUGAAAUAUCAUAAUGGUGUAUCUGAGACGUCAUAGUGAAGGAUAUUAAUUGUUAGUAGAUCCACAAAAGCAUAGGGGCACUGAUUGACUUCGAUGUAGAGUGUAACAUGGACAUUGACUUUGUUGCAAGAUAUAACAUAUGCAUUGGUAGAGAUGUAUGGGUGCGACAUGAGUAUUGGCUUGGAUGCAAGAAUAUAACAUAAACAUUAGUUAGCAUUGAUGCAAGGUGUAUGUUGUGGGUACACUCCUUAUGGUGGAGUAUGAUAGUUCUUUUGAACUAGGAUUGUUGGAGUGGACAAUGGUGGUAGCGCUUGAGGCUUUCCAAGAAAGCUCUAAGGUUCAGUUUGACUGAGCAUUGAAGAGGAUGGUUGUUGGUAGACUUUUCUGUAGAGUUUCCAAUAUAUCGAAAGACUUCCUAGCAAUAGGUAGCUAGACGACAUGUUCCAUUUGAUGGCGCUACGGGAAGUUGCACUACAAGUUUGGAGAGUUAGGCUCUUGGUAACACCGUCAAAGAUACUCAGAAGGUUUAUGUUGUUGGAGAGCAGAGUCUUAUGUGGAGGAAUUGUUAAAGAGAAUUAGGCAUUGAUCAAGGUAGAGUCAUAUAUUCGCUAAGGUGAAGAUUCUUGUGUAGAUUUCCUAAGGAGCAAAAUAUUCGUCUAUUUCAAUCAAGAUGGAGAUUGUUAGGAAUGUUUGAAAUAUGUUAUUAUAUGAGUCAUAUAUUGUCUAGUAUUAGAAUAUAGUAGAUUAUCAAUGUUAUAUAUUAGACUCAAGUCCAUUGUUGUAAUGUGCACCAGAUUUAAACACCAAAUAGAAACAUUACAUGGGCAGUUGGGCCCAUGAGUGUGCUAGGGUUUGUAAUCCUUAUUCUCUAAUAAUAUAUUGGUAGCCGCUCAACGCGCUCCCGAGGACGUAGGCAUAAUUGAUCGAACCCUGUUAGCAUAUUCUCUUGUUUCUUAUCUUCUAUUUAUGCAAAUUAUUUAAUUGUUUGUGGCCAACACUAUGCAAUGAUCGCUUCCGCUACACCAACACCAUAAAUAUAAUACUUAAAUAUUUAAGUUAAGAUGUGGUGUUUGGUUAUGUUAUUUUUAGCUUAAGCACAUUAUUGAGGAUAUCCCAAAAUAUGAUCUCCUCAAUCCUAAAAAGCGGUAUCAAAGCGAUGAUUCAACUUAGAUGAGUAUUGUGAAUGAUAGUUGUUUGUCAAUCCAUGUGUUGAGUCCUAGUGUCGAAAUUUCUCCCAUAAGUAUACGGUGGAGUGACAUAUUUCAUUGGAGAUAAAGGACAACUACAAUAUUGAGCAACGACAACCAUUUUAGGCUCUUGUCUACAUAUUAAAAAAAUUGAAAAUAAUCUCCUACAACUAGGGAUGAUAACGGGCACGAGUAGUAGCUACCCAUUUUGAAAUCUAGUAGCUUUUCUCAUACUCGCCCAUACUUGUGUGGGGUUUUCGCAGGUAUUUUUAGGCACUCGUGGACACAACGGGCAGUCGUGGGUUACCUGCAUUAUCAAUGAAUUUCUAAUUUCUUACUUCUAUUAUGUUUUACAUUAGAUGAAACUUGAAUUAUUUUUGUGCAUUUUAAUUCUAACAUUUGACAAAAAUGCUAAAUCUAUAAUUUAGAUUACCGAAUAUUGGUUUGUCUGAUGUGUUGUUCCCAUUCCUUAUGAAAAAACUAUAUAUUUUUCUUUGCAAGACACCUCAGUUUCUAUAAUGAUAUUUGUAAGGUGUUGUACUAUUGGUCGGUUUAAAAGGAUUGCUCAUUGCACCAUCAAAUUCAAUAAAAGAUGUAAACAAUGUAAAAGGAAAAAAUAUACACGAUGUUACAAAAUUACAACAACUAAACACCACCCCAUAUUUCACUUCUCUAAUAUACACUCAUCUUCUUAAAGUCUCAUAUUUUAUGUUUCUUUGCCCAUAAAAUCAAAGAGAAAAUAAUCCUCUUCCAAAUUCAAACUCUGAAAAGAAUAAAAACCUUUCAAAUAAAAUCUUUGUGUUCUCUAUACAUUCUCUUCUAGAGCAUAAAAUUAAAGGCUACAAAAGCAAAAAUAAAACGGAUUUGGUUAGAGACAAUGAAGACAUAAAUGUUGAGAUGUAUUUAGAGAUGCCCCGUCAUCAUUCACUUGUUUGGUGAGUGGACACAAAAGGAGACUAGACAAUGUAUGUGUAACUAUGAAUAAGGGAAUGAUGGAUUAGGGAUUCAGGCAAAGCGAAUGGGAAAUGAGACUAUACAAUAUAAGUAAAGGUUAUUGUAGUGUACUAAUUAUUUUAAUUAAAGGUAAUAUGUUAAUCACAUAAAUAACAAAUACUCAAGGGCACCUGUACAACAAUACCUAUGUCCGCCAGUUGCAGAAAAAAAAACAAAUCAUUACUAUUUAUUUCUUCUCUCAAUAUAUCUCAUUGAGCAAACCAUAAACUUAUUUAAAGUACCUUUUAUAUCUUUUCCAAGUAUUUUUUCUCCUAAUUAUCCUUUAAACUUUAUGAGUUGAUGAAUUUGACCAUUGUAUAAAUAUAUUUUUAAAUUACUAAUAGACCAGUAUGAAAUCUGCUACAAUCAGACUGACAAUAGUAACAAUGCAACAGUGCAUGUUAGCCAACAUUGAUACCCGAAAGAAACCGAUAUCAAAAUACAAAAAAUGAUUUAGAAGAAUAUGAUAAAUAAAUUCUAGAGUUAAAAAUGGUUAUUUUAGUAAUAUUGAUAUAUAAAACAAUUUAAGAGUUGAGGUUAAAACAAAGUACAUGCUGAGUUAGAAUUUAUUAUUAUUAUUAUUAAUUUAAUAUUAUUUUUAUGCAGACACCAUUUUCACUAAAAGUUAAAGUUUAAGAGAUAAUUAGGAAAAAAAAAACAGUUCAUGGUGACUACUUGUAAAUGGCGUGAGAAUCUUCUCCAAUACUCGAUGAGAAGUACAUAAAAAACAAAGGAAAAAAUAAUGUGAUGUUAUACUUCUACCCUUAAAUAUAUUAACAUUAUAGAGAUUUAGGAAUGAUAAAGAAUGAUCAAACUCAAGUAUUAGUUAGUCAAAAUAAUUUAUUUUAUAAGCAGGAGUUGUUACAAAUGAUAAGAUGAUAAACUCAAAUAAUAACUAACAAAAUAAAGAUAAACUCAAAUAAAAUGAAACUAAUUAAAUCCUAGAUAAAAUUAUUCUUUGCCAAUCCAAAUAUAUCUAAUAUAUUCCCUCAAGUUACAGCUUAAUAAAUUUUAAGUUUGUUACAAAUAAUUCUUUUAAAAAACAAAACAAUUAAAUGAUUAUAUGGGCGUGCUCCACAAAGAUUGUUGGAAAUGUGUUGUAAAUUACAAAGUUUGCAAGUAGAAACUCCACUAAAAUGAUUGUUGAUGAGAAGAGAAACCACUAGAAUAAUCAAUAACUUAAUAUUGGAUAAGAGUCUGAUUCUUAUAAAUGAUACAAAAUUUAGGGUUUUUUUUAUUAUAGUUUUCCCAUUUAAAAUAAUAGACAAAUAAAUUGAAAAGCUAAGGGAGGAGAAAAUCGCAUAUAGAAGUAUCAUAAUUUACCUCCAAUGAGAAGAAGAGCUACAUCUUGUCUUUAUCACAAAUUAUGCAAUCACAACAACAAUAUUAUUUUCACAACUUGCCAUUGUUUUUUCACACUUAGCGUAAGCCUUCUUUGGGAUAUGAGAAUAAAGGUAAAAAAAGAAGGUUCGAAUCAGAUAAAUUCUUAAACAAUUAUUAUUGUUCUUCUAUUUAUAAACUUCAAAGAGUUAUGGUGAUAGUUUAAUUUGAUUAUGUCUUUGUGUUCGGUCCUGUUUCUAAACAUUUGGAAAUGACAUUGAGUCACAUGGAGAUUUUAAAUUGAUUUGGAAAACUAGACUUAAGAUAUUUGAUGGCCGAUGUGGAUAGAAAAUUUGAUUUCUAAUUACGAGUGUAGUGGUUCUUAGAAUUGUUGCUUCUCAUGAAGAAAAAAGAACAACCUCGGUAUAUUAAAUGAAUUGAAAAAUGAUAUAUCUCUCCGAAGAGAAAAAGUAUUAAAUAGAAGGCUAACUAAAAACAGAAAGCUAUUAGAAACUAACCAACUACCUAAAGCUAAAAACAAAAAGGGAAAAAUUAACUAAGAAAAUAAAGUGGGCUUCAAAAACUUAAGAGCCCAAAACUAAAGAAAAAGAAGAAGAAAUAAUAAAAAUAAAUAAUUGGACUACAAAACAUUAAGGCCCAUUAAACUAAAAAUAACUAAAAAGAAAGAAGGAAAAAGUUGAAGAUAAUAAUGGAGUUUCUUUCAACCUCAAGCUAACAUAUUAUAAUACCCCCUCAAGGUGGACGAUGUAAAUCACAUAGUCCUAACUUGGAAAUGAAAGUCUGAAAAGGUUUUGGCGGCAACAACUUUGUAAAUGCCUCUGCAAGUUGUUUAGAAGAUGAGAUUGGAAGCAAAUGAAUAAAGUCUUUGUGGAUCUUUUCCUUUAUGACGUAACAGUCGAUUUCAAUGUACUUUGUAUGCUCAUGGAAGACAUGAUUAUGAGUUAGAUAUAUUGUUGAUUUGUUGGCGUAGUAUACUCAGAUAAGAUUAUACAAUUGAAGGUGUAAAUCAUUGAAGAUAUAGCUAAGUCAUUGAAGCUCACAAGCAAUACUUCCAAGAACCAUGUAUUCAACUUCUGAUUAAGAUCGUCUAACAAUGUUUUAUUUCUUGGUUUUCCAAUAAAUGAUUGAAGAUCCGAGAAAGAUGCAAAAGCCAAUAAUGGAUUUGUGUGAAUCUAAUCAACUUGCCCAAUCAGAGUCAACUUAUGUAGGGGAAGCCUUGAGAUAGGGGAAGCCUCAUGGCAUCUUUGAGGUGAGAGUCUAAUGGUUUGUUCAUGAAUAAACUAAGAUGUUGGACAACAUAGGAUAUGUCUAGCCUAGAGAUGGUGAGGUAGAUGAGUUUGCCAACAAGUUGUCUAUAAGUAGAAGGAUCUGGCAAGGGGGCACCUUCAUUGAUUUGCAGUUUGACAGAUGGUUCGAAAGGAGUCUUGGCUGGUUUGGAUGCAAGAGUGCCAAAUUCUUCCAACAGAGCAAGGGUGUACCUUAUUUGAUUAAGGUUAAUACUUGAAGCAAAUCUUGAAAUUUCUAGACCUAAGAAAUAUCUCAAGUGGCCAAGAACUUUAAUUAUGUAGUUGGUGUCCAGGAUUUGUUUGACAUGUUUGGUUUCAUCAAAAUUGUUUCCCGUGAGGACUAGAUCAUCUAUGUAUACCAAGAUGGCAGUGGAAAGGAGUUGUUGCUUGAUUUUGUGAAGAUUGCUUGGUUUGCUUAUGAAUUAAUGAAGCCUAAAUUAGUCAGUUCGGAGGAAAGAGUAUUGUGCCAUUCUCUACUAGCAUGUUUCAAGCUAUAGAGAGAUUUGUUUAGUUUGUAGACGAAGUUGGUGUUGGAGGGUAAUAAAUAAGGUGAAGGUGUCAUGUAGACUUCCUCAUGUAAGUCUGCAUGAAGAAAGGUGUUGUUGAUGUUUAAUUAUUCAAGAAACCAUGAUUUGGCAGCAACAAUUGCUAGAAUGAGUCUAACAUUUGUGAUUUUAACAUUCGGUGAGAAGGUUUCGAAAUAAUCAACCCCUUCAAGUUGGUUUUACCCCUUUGCCACAAGUUUGGCCUUGUACAUCUGAAAGGUUCCAUCAACAUGGUAUUUGACCUUGAAGAUCCACUUACGUUCAAUGGUAGUUUUGUUGUCAGGUAGAGGAAGGAGAGUCCAAGUGUUGUUGAGAUUGAGUGCAUAGAGUCCUUGUUGCAUAGCCUCUUGCCAACAUGGGAAUUUGUAAGCCUACUUGUAUGAAGAUGGUUUUGUGAUGGUGGAGACAACACAUCAAAAGUUUAUGUAUGGAAUAGAACAAUUAGUAUAGGAUAAAACAUAACUAAGAGAGUGAGAAAUACUUGAGAUAGAAGGGACAUGCUUAGGUUUGGACACAACAAGGUUGCAAUGAGAGUCCUUUAAGUGAGUUGGUGGCCUUCGAGGUCUACUAGAAUGCCUAAGGAUUAUGGUAGGAGGUUGGUUAGUAGGAACAAUGUCACGUGUUGGAAUGGUUGGAGUAGUGGUUGGUGUAGUGGAAUAGCCUUCAAGAUUAGUGUGAAUUGGGUUAGUUGUAGUAGGGGUAAUUUUGCAGACUAUAUGGUCAUUAUUGGGAAAAUCAGUGAAAAGGAAGUAAUGUUCAUAGAAUAGACUUGCCUAGAUAGGAAAAUAUUAUGAGAAGUGAGAUCAUAAAGCAGUUUUUCUUGAUCUUUGUUAGAAUUUGGUUCUGUUGGAGGUAAUUGUAGUAGCAAAGGCUAAACACCCAAAAACUUUUAGGUGGCCAAGGGAUGGCUUGGUCUGGUAUAGGUAGUAAAAAGGACUAUUAUUUAGAAGUAUGGGGGUUAGGGUUCUGUUGGUUAGAUGAACACCAUGUUGGAUUGCAAAAGUCCAAAAUUUAUGUGGCAAAUGUGAUUGAGAAAGAGCCCUAGCAACAUUUAAGAUGUGCUGAUGUUUUCUUUCUACCAUCCCAUUUUGUUGGGGAGUUUCUACACAAGUUCUUUAAGGAAAUCAUUCAUCAAGAAUUCUACACCAUUAUCACUCCUGAGACAUUGCGAUUUUGUAUUAAAUUGAGUCUCCAUAAAGGAGAUGAAAUGAAUAGGAGAUUUUCUAGUGUCAGCCUUACUUUUGAGCAUAAUAGUCCAAGUAAAUCUAGAGUAAUCAUCUACUAAUGUUAAUAAAAAUUUGUGACCAAAGAGAGAUGGAGUUUCAUAGGGACCCCAUAUGUCAGCAUGCAGUAAUUGAAAGACCUUGGUACUCUUAGUUUUGCUGAGAGUAAAAGGUAGUUUCUUUUGUCUAGAUAAAUGCCAAAUAUAACAUGGAGUUGAAGAAUUUGAUUUAACAAUGAUAUAAGGAAAUGGCUUGGUAAAAAUUGUCAUUAUAGAAUCAGGUAUGUGUCUUAGUCUGGGAUGCCAUAUGGCUGAAUUGACAUUAUUGACAAUUGAAUUAUAAAAGCUAAAAGAACUAGAACUGUGAGGCUUUAUUGAAUGUAUAGAGAAUAAUCCUUGUUGUAAUUUUGUUGAACCAAUUAUCCUCUUGGUAAGAUUUUGCAAUAUGAGACAUUUACGUUUAGAGAAUAUCAAAUGGCAAUUUAAAUCAAGUGUUAAUUUUGCAACAAAUAUCAAUUUGACAUUAAAUUGUGGAAUAAAGAGAACAUUUUGUAAUUCAAGAGAGUUAGUAAGGUGAAUAGUGCCAUAUAUAGAACUUGAAAUCUUCCUACCAUUUGGCAAGGUACCUAUGUGUGGUAAAAUUCUACAUAUCAUAAGUGAUAUGAUUUGUGGCUCCAGUGUCUAGGAGCCAUUGUGAAUAGGUGUUACCUGGAGGAGGAAGUGCAGCAUUGUUAAUUAUUGAGUUUGCUACAUGUUGGUGUUGUGUUUUUGAAUGUUGUAGCAUGUUCAGGAUGUAUUGGACUUGAUCUUGUGUGAAGAGCUUAUCAGAACCUCGUAGUUUCUCGUGUGCCUUGGAAUCUUCAAAUUUUGUGUCUUCUUUAUCCAAGGGAAAAAGAUAAGUAUGGUUUAUAGGUAUGAUAGUUUUGUUGGAGGAAUGGCCUAGUCACCCAUGCUUUAGAAAGCAUGUGUUAACAAUAUGGUUUGAUCUCUCACAAUAGAUACAAAAUCUAUUAUUUUGGUUUAUGUUAUUUCCUGAUCUACCACCCCUUCCUCUAAAGGAAUUGUUACCUCUUCCUGUUAUAGAAGAAUUUUGUCUAUAGGAAUAGUCACCUAUAGAGUUAGUAGAUAGGAUGUGUCUAGGGGUGAGCAAGACUCGGCUUGACCCGUAUGAACUCGAUGACUUAGGGACAGAUCUGACCCAUCUAAAUAAAUAAAAAAGGACAGACCCGAUUAAUUGGGACAUGCCCAUCAUCAAAAAAGGACGGGUUCAGAUCUAUGUUCGGGUCACCCGAAUCGUCCCUUAUAGUUAUAUAUCAAGAAUAGUUGAAUAAAUACUUAUCAAUACUCAUUAUGUUCAGCCCACAUAACUCAAAUACCUACAAGCCCACACAACAUAUUCACACCACUUAUCAUAUGAUCCUUAUUCCUUAUCAUUUUUUCAUUGUUUAAUUCAGUUAAUAGCUAGUUGUUGUAUUCAUUUCUGUGUGCACUUUUGAGUAUUUGACAUGUUGUUGUCAUUUCAGUUCUCAUGUAUUUUUUAAAAUCAUUUAUAAGAACACUUCAGCUUAUGUUGACACUUGACAAUUUUUAUAGUUAUGAAAUUUUCAAUGUCUUCUAUAAUUUUCAGUCAUUUGAUUGUGAUAGUUUUUAGUUUGAAUGAUGCAAUUUACGGUUUGUAGUUUAUAUACUGAUGUAUGUGAGAUGCAUGUUUUAGUUAAUUUGAUAUACAUAUUGUGAUAAUUUUGAUUGUGCAUGCUUAAAGAUUUGAGAAGAAACCUAUGUUUGUCAUUUUGUCAUUUUCCAACCCGAACUCGUCCUUAUCUUGACCCGUCCCUUACAUGUCCCAUCCUAAUUAGGGAUGGGUUCGGGUUCAAAAAUUGACCCGAUCAAUAUUUAGGGAUAGGUGAGGGACAUGCUUAACCCAUCCCAAUUCGUCUCACGCUCACCCCUAGAUGUGUCCUUCUGAUUCAAUUUGUGAAGGGUUGGGAUUUCCUAGUUGUCUUUCCUAUUGUAUGAGCAGGGAAAAGACUCCAAUGAUGUUGGAUAUGAGAUCAAUUAUCAUAACCUGGGAUCUCACUUGGGCAUAUUGUUCAUUAAGGCCUGUCAAAAAUCUGAUGACAUAGUCUUGUUACCUAUAGGUCUUGAUAGAUUGCAUCACUCUACAAGUACAAUGUAUUUCACAUUUACAAUUCCUAAUAGGCCUAAAGUUUUCAAUUUCCUCCCAUAAGGAUUUUAACUCACUAAAGAACUCUAAAAUAUUUUGAUGACCUUGACUAAGUUGGUAGAAUUGAAGUUAUAAUUCUGCUAUGUGAAACCUAUCACUUUGUGAGUAUCUAUCUUGUAGAUCUUGCCAUACAUCUGCUGCAGAAUCAAUCUAAAGAAUUGACUUGACAAUGGACUCUUUAAGUGAGUGUUGGAUCCAUGAAAGAAUCAUAGUAUUGCAUCUUAUCCAUAGGUCAUACAAGGUUUCACCUUUCAUUGGCUACUUGAUACUCUCAUCAAUGAAACUGAGUUUGUUCUUGGAUUGGAGUGCAAGCUUGAAGGCACGGGACCAGGAAUGGUAAUUUCUUCCAUUCAAUAACUGAGUAACAAAAAUCAAUGAGAGAUUUUCGUUGGAAUGAAGAAAGUAAGGAUUCGAUGGUUUGUUGUAACAUGCAAUUGAUGGUAACAAGAAAUUCAGAAAGAGAAAUGGGUAAGGUUGUAGAUAGAGAAGACAUAACAAGAAUGAGAGAAGAGGAACGACGAGAGGUUGGUGAUCAGAGCGUGAUAUGCUCUGAUACCAUCUUAGAGUCGUUGCUUCUCAUGAAGAUUUGAAAAUUGAUACAUCUUGGAAGAGAAGAAUGUAUUAAAUACAAGGCUAACUAAAAACAGAAAGCUGCUAGAAACUAACCAACUCCCUAAAGCUAAAAACAAAAAGGGAAAAACUAACUAAGAAAAGAAAGUGGGCUUUAGAAACUUAAGAGCCCAAAGCUAAAGAAGAAAAAGAAAUAACUGGGCUACAAAACAAUAAGGCCCGUUAAACUAAAAAUAACCAUAAAGAAAGAAAAUGUUGAAGAUGAUAACGAAGUUUCAUUCAACCUCAAACUAAUAUAUUUUAACCGUGGUUCAAGAUUGAAUGAUAAACAUGAUGAAAUUGAACUAAGCAACAACGAAAAACAUGAUUUGAUUUAAUUUUUAUAAGAAAUUGUUUAUAAUUGGACUAGUCUAUGGUCCUAUAGAGUUAGGAAUCAUGAGAACCAAACCAUAAAAUUGAUGACCAAUUAAAAAUUAAGUAAUACUUGAUACAAAAAAUAUGAUCUCCCCUUUCUCUUUCAUACACUCGUAUAAGCAAAAAGUAAUUAUACAAAUUUUUAUAACAUUUAAGUAAAUAUAUGCAUUUUUUAUGUAUUGUGUAAUUAACAAGAAAAGUCUAGAUAAUAUUUUUUUGUACAUAGCAAAAUAAUAAAAUCUUAGAGAGGAAGACUAAUAUAAAACCUACACCAAUAAAAAAAAGUAAUAAAGAAAAGAAAAAAAGAACAAAUGACAGACAUGUUUUCAUACAAGAUAUUUAGCAUGAAAGAUUUUAUACUUAGCACUAUAUACGAAUUUUUAAACAACCGAUAAAAGUGGACAUGUUUCAUUAAAAGAGUGGAUCAAUGAUUUAGACCAAAUCAUUUAUAUUUAGUCUGGUUCCAACAAUGAAAAACAACAUGAACUGAAUCAAACCACUCUUUAUUGAUUCCUGAACUAUCCAAAAAAAACUUAAUAGAGUUAUUACACUCCUACUUGUUUUAAGAUUGGCAUAACUUGAACGUACCAUUAGAUAACUUGAUUCUUUACUUGGUUAUAUUGAAUAUCCUUGAAAGUCUAACCUACACACCCAAAACAAUUUUUUGAAACACUUUGCCAUGUUUAUGAAUGAUGUCAUCUUAGAUCUUCUCCAUUAUCGUCUUCCUCCUUCUUAUGACACCACCACCAAUCGAUCCAAGUCUUUUUCUUGUUUGGAUUUGUCAUGGUUUAUUCUUCAUUCUACUCCCUCUACAUUAGCGCGACAUGGAGUAGUGACCGUAAGAAAUAUGCCUUUUGUGACAUGAAUGAAUGUAUUAUUUCAUUAUUUGAAUGAUAUAACUCUUGGAUGAAGAGGUAUCAAUGAAAUGUUAAGACUCUUGGGAAAGAGCCUAUAUAUACUGCUUGAUGGAAGUAUUAUACUAACAAGAAAAAGGACCAUAAAUAUUGUCCCUAUCUCUGCUCAUAAAUUGUCCAUUUGCUAAAUUCCUUGAAAGUCGUGGCAUAUGUGCACAAUACAUAAUGUCAGGUACACUACAACAAAAUGAUGUAUCAGAAAGGUGUACACUUAAGGAAGAACAUAGUAAGAACGGGAAGGAGAUAGAAGGAUUACUCUAUAAACCAAGAACACCAAACAACAAUUAAAUGGAGGAUCGUAUCGCCAUGAGUAAAAGUUAGUAAUCUGUAACUAUUCUUAUGAUGUGAAAACUAUGAUUUCUUAAGAUCCAUUUACACAUGACUUUCAAAUAAAGUUUCUAUGUAGUAAUCAGAGCACUGUGUUUAAGAAUUUAUAGUUUUCCAUUAAUAAUGAUUUUAAUCCUCAUGAUAUUUUGAAAUAUGUUCUUGAAUGUUCAAAGAACUGAUAUAUGAUUUUUCCGCUGCAUUAGAGUAACAAACAAAGUGUAGAAAAAAAGAACAUAUCAUUGUUUUGUUCAUAACAUUGUUCAAAUCACCAUUACUGUGCAUAUAUUUUGCAUGUUUUAUUGCACUGUUCAUAAUUUAAGUGACUAAACUUUUAUGUAUUAUGUAUUGGUACUCUGUUUUUGAACAAAAUGCUAGGUUCAUUGAAAAUGAUGAGAUUAGUGGGAGUGAAACACUACGUAAAGUGGAAAUUCAAGAAGUGAGGGUACAAGUUUCAUUUACUCGUGUCCCUAAUAAUGUCUGAAUAUUGAGACAAUAUAUUUAACACAAACAAUAAAGAUGUGUAUAUUUGCUGUUAUUAAAUUUAAUACAUAUUUAUGAAUGUGGGCUAUAGUAGAAGAAUCACAAGAGAUAGCAUUAAGAAGAUCUCAAAGAGAAAGACAAUAUGCUAUUUCUGAUGAUUAUGUGGUUUACCUACAUCAACAUAUAUAUUUGCUUCUUGUAGUUUACAUGUUAACGUAUAUAUGUAUAUUUGCUUCUUGUAGUUUACAUGUUAACGUAUAUAUGUAUAUAAAUAAAUGUUAUAUACAUAGUUAUAUUAUAACCAAUAUAUAACAUUAAUAGACAAAUAAUAUAUAUUUUAAUAUUAACCAGUGAAAUAAUGUAUAUAUGUUAUAUGUAACAUUAGUAUAUAUGUAUAAUGUUUAAUAUAUAUAACUUUUUGAUAUAAUUGUUUUAUGAAUAUGUAAGUAACUUUAUAAUUUAUGUGUAAUUUUAAGAGUAAUGUGCAUCUUUAAUAUUAUGACUUGUUAGAUGUUUAUUAUAUGAUAGAUUUGUUAAUCAUCAAAGUGAUCAAAUCUUUAUGUUAAUUAAUUCCAAAUUGUAUGAUCAUAUUUCAUUUGUUCGAAAUUAUUGUAUGAUAGAUAUACACCAAAUGGAUGUGAAAACCGCCUUUCUAAAUGGGGAUUUAACAGAAAAGAUCUAUAUGGAUCAACCAAUAGGAUUCAUAGAGAAAGGAAAAGAACACAUGGUGUGUAAACUUUAGAAAUCAAUAUAUGGACUUAAACAAGCUUCGCGGUAGUGGUAUCUUAAGUUUAAUGAUACUAUUGUAUCCUUUGGGUUUAAGGAAAACAUUGUUGAUCGAUGUAUAUACCUAAAGGUCAGUGGGAGUAAGUUUAUCUUUUUGGUUUUAUAUGUUGAUGACAUCUUGCUUGCAACUAAUGAUCUUGUUCUUUUAAAUGGGACUAAGAUACAUUAUUGCCAAAUUUAUGUGAAAUUCUUUUAGUAUCAUCAUGUCUAGUAUGGUAUAUUUAUGGAUUAUCCAAAUGUAGACAUUAAUAUACACUUAUGAAGUAAUCUGAAUUAAUUUUGCAUGUAACUCAAAGCCUUAACGUUUUUGUUUGAUUUUAUUGAUUGCAGUACCUGUUGCUUUACAUUCGCAAUUCUCAUUUGUUCCAACUUUCAAUUUUAGUAUGAUGCAAUGUCCAAAGAAUGAUUUGGAAUGGAAGCAAAUAGAAGAAAUUCCUUAUGCAUCUAUAGUUGGGAGUUUAACGUAUGCUCAUACUUGUACGCAACCAUAUAUUAGUUUUGCAGUUGGAAUGUUAGGAAGAUACCAGAGUAAUCCUGGUAUNNNNNNNNNNNNNNNNNNNNNNNNNNNNNNNNNNNNNNNNNNNNNNNNNNNNNNNNNNNNNNNNNNNNNNNNNNNNNNNNNNNNNNNNNNNNNNNNNNNNUUCAGAAUGGAUAAAUGUUCAGCAUCUCCCGUUCCAAUUCAGAAAGGAGACAAGUUUAGUAUGAUGCAAUGUCCAAAGAAUGAUUUGGAACAGAAGCAAAUGGAAGAAAUUCCUUAUACAUAUAUAGUUGGGAGUUUAAUGAAUGCUCAGACUUGUACGCGAUCAGAUAUUAGUUUUGCAGUUGAAAUGUUAGGAAGAUACUAGAGUAAUCCUGGUAUAGAACAUUGGAAAGCUGCAAAGAAAGUUCUGAGAUACUUACGAGGUACAAAUGAUCACAUGCUUACUUAUAGGAGAUCAAAUCAUAUUGAGGUGGUUGGAUAUUCAGAUUCAGACUUUGCCGGAUGCAUAGACACAAGAAAGUCUACUUUCGGUUAUGUAUAUUUAUUAGCCGGAGAAGCUAUAUCAUGGAAGAGUGUGAAGCAAACUGUCAUUGUUGCAUCCACUAUGGAAGCUAAAUUUGUGGCAUGCUUUGAGGCCACAGUUCAUGCUAAACGGCUAUAGAACUUUAUUUCAGGACUUGGAAUUGUCGACAGUAUUGCCAAGCCGCUGAAAAUUUAUUAUGAUAAUUCUGCAGCAGUCUUCUUUUCUAAAAACGACAAGUAUUCCAAAUGUGCUAAACAUAUGGAGGUGAAAUACUUUGCCGUUAAAAAAGAAGUUCAGAAACUUAGAGUGUCGAUUGAGCAUAUUAGCACUAACCUAAGGAGUCAAGGAAGUCAUUCCAUCAAUUAUGUUAAUCAUCGAGGAGUUAGAAAGAAAGUCAGUAAGAAACAUGACAAGAAACAGAAAGGACUCUUACAGAUUACUGAGCCAUCUUCUCAAAUCCACAAGAAGGAACAUCAUGAUAAAAAUGCAAAUAAAUGUUGAACAUUAUGUUAUUAAUAAAGUCUCAAUAUUUUGACACUUCGAGCUCAUUAUAUUUAAGUUUCUGAUUAAUAUUUUAUUUUCACACUUAUGUACACAUUUGAGAAUAAUAAUCUUGAAAAUAAAAUUUUCUUAAUAAUCUUGAAAAUAAAAUUUUCUUUCUAAAUGACAUUAUUAUAUGAUUCUCAUUAAUGUGUCAUGUUAAGAAUAAAACUAAUAUAGUAGUACAUGGAAGGGACUAUAUCGAAUAAGUGAUGUACAACCGCCAUGACUCUUAUUAGUUAUUAUUCUUAAUCAUGACUUGUAAUGUAAUGAAUAUGGAAAACAUAUUCUGAAUAUGCGCAUUAUGUUUGAGGUUUAUAAAAUCAUGAAUUGUAUUGUCACAAGAGACAAGUGGGAGAAUGUAAGAAAUAUGCCUCUUGUGACAUGAAUGAAUGUAUUAUUUUAUUGUUUGAAGGAUAUAACUAUUGGAUGAAGAGUUAUCAAUGAAAUGUUAAGACUCUUGGGAAAGAGCCUAUAUUGCUUGAUGGAAGUAUUAUACUAACAAGAAAAAAGACCAGAAAUAUUGUCCCUAUCUCUGCCCAUAAAGAUUGUUCUAUCAGCCAUCACUUAAGGAAGAGCANNNNNNNNNNNNNNNNNNNNNNNNNNNNNNNNNNNNNNNNNNNNNNNNNNNNNNNNNNNNNNNNNNNNNNNNNNNNNNNNNNNNNNNNNNNNNNNNNNNNAUAUUAGUUUUGCAGUUGGAAUGUUAGGAAGAUACUAGAGUAAUCCUGGUAUAGAACAUUGGAAAGCUGUAAAGAAAGUUAUGAGAUACUUACAAGGUACAAAUAAUCACAUGCUUACUUAUAGGAGAUCAAAUCACCUUGAGGUGUUUGGAUAUUCAGAUUCAGACUUUGCCGGAUGCAUAGACUCAAGAAAGUCUACUUUCGGUUAUGUGUAUUAAUUAGCUAGAGGAGCUAUCUCAUGGAAGAGUGCAAAGCAAACUGUCAUUGUUGCAUCCACUAUGGAAGCUAAAUUUGUGGCAUGCUUUGAGGCCACAGUUCAUGCUAAACGGCUAUAGAACUUUAUUUCAGGACUUGGAAUUGUCGACAGUAUUGCCAAGCCGCUGAAAAUUUAUUGUGAUAAUUCUGCAGCAGUCUUCUUUUCUAAAAACGACAAGUAUUCCAAAGGUGCUAAACAUAUGGAGGUGAAAUACUUUGCCGUUAAAGAAGAAGUUCAGAAACUUAGAGUGUCAAUUGAGCAUAUUAGCACUAACCUUAUGAUUGCAGACCCUUUGACGAAAGGGUUACCGCCCAAAAUAUUUACUGGUCAUGUAACAAAUAUGGGUAUUAUGUUUGCGAAUGAAUGUUGAACAUUAUGCUAUUAAUAAAGUCUCAAUAUUUUGACAUUUCGAGCUCGUUAAUAUUUAAGUUUCUGAUUAAUAUUUUAUUUUCACACUUAUGUACACAUUUGAGAAUAAUAAUCUUGAAAAUAAAAUUUUCUUUCCAAAUGACAUUAUUAUAUGAUUCUCAUUAAUGUGUCAUGUUAAGAAUAAAACUAAUAUAGUAGUACAUGGAAGGGACUAUAUCGAAUAAGUGAUGUACAACCGCCAUGACUCUUAUUAGUUAUUAUUCUUAAUCAUGACUUGUAAUGUAAUGAAUAUGGAAAACAUAUUCUGAAUAUGCGCAUUAUGUUUGAGGUUUAUAAAAUCAUGAAUUGUAUUGUCACAAGAGACAAGUGGGAGAAUGUAAGAAAUAUGCCUCUUGUGACAUGAAUGAAUGUAUUAUUUUAUUGUUUGAAGGAUAUAACUAUUGGAUGAAGAGUUAUCAAUGAAAUGUUAAGACUCUUGGGAAAGAGCCUAUAUUGCUUGAUGGAAGUAUUAUACUAACAAGAAAAAAGACCAGAAAUAUUGUCCCUAUCUCUGCCCAUAAAGAUUGUUCUAUCAGCCAUCACUUAAGGAAGAGCAUAGUAAGAACAGGAAGGAGAUAGAAGAGUUACUCUAUAAACCAAGAACACCAAACAACAAUUAAAUGGAGAUCGAAUCGUCAUGGGUAAAGGUUAGUAAUCUGUAACUAUUCUUAUAAUAUGAAAACUAUGAUUUGUUAAGAUUCAUUUACACAUGAUUUCCAAAUAAAGUUUACAGCGACAACACCUAGAGCAACAACAACUAGCAAUAGCAACACUCAAUACUAGCAGCAACACCAUUAGCCAACAAUAGCAAUGAUAAGAAGAAGACUUGGAAAUAAAGAUGAAAUUGGAUAAGAUCCCAAAUGGCAAUUUUGAUGGUAAGGAAGACUAAAAUAACGUCAUUUUGAUGAUAAUAUAACAAAAUAACUAUUAUGGCACCAAAAAUUGACGACAUUAUAAAACUUUAAUGGGAGGAAUAACAUUAUUAUUUAGAAGAAUAAUGCUAUAUUUUCUUAAUCUAUUUUACCAAAGUAUAAGUGUGCUGAGUCACUAGUACCUAUUAAACCCCAAUAUCCUUUCUUUUCUUUUCUUUUAUUACAUUAUACUCUAUAGAAACGUAUGACUUGGGGAUGUUUCUAUAAUUAUUAUUUUUAUUCAUAGUGAGACAUACCCUAUAAAAUUAGUUUGGAUUUAACUAUUUGCCGUGUCUAUUUUCUUCUUGUAGUAAUUAGGUGAUAGCGCCUAUAAUAAAAAUAGCAUAAAGUACAUAACAUAAAAUAAUAUAUUCACGACUCUUUUCAAUCCAUAGCAACCAAGUGGCACAUGAAAUUGAUGUACAAACUAUAAAUAAAAAACAUUUUUUUUGAAAAAUGGAUCAUAUUGGCUGAUUCAAUCAGUGUAUCUAUUCCGAAACAGGUACGAUAUAAUAAGUGUCAUUCAUUUAAACAUAUUGGUCAAAACUGGUCAUAUAUUCCCAUUUUCAUUUAAACUCUAACGAUCAUAAUGAUCAUUUUCAUUUAAAAUUAAUUUUUUAUGAAAUUUUUACCAAAAUAUUGUUGUAGAAGAUCAACCGCACAAUUAUUACCUUCGAUUAUAGCUCUAAAACAUGGUCUUACACAUUUUCCCCAAUAAAUAGUAUAAAUAAAAGUAUUAAUCAUCUUCUUUAUUAAUUUUAGUUAACUUGUAUGCAUUUUAGUUAACAAAUCAUUGAUUAAACCACUAUAUCACCAUAUUACUACUCUGAUCGGUUUGGAAGACAGUACAUUAUUAAUAUCACUAAUAAAAAGUUAUUACUUGUUGAAGAGAAGUCAAAAUUCCCAUGAGGAUGAUAAAAAAUCAUACUCUUAAUGGAAAUUAGUUACAAAAUAAUGACAUGACAAGAGUAGAGCAAAACAUAAGGCAUAGGUAGUAAGUAAAAGUGCACAUUACUUGUUUUAGAGGAAUCUUGUUAUGAAAAGAAAUGAAGAGAAGGUAUCCAAAUAUGGCAAGGCAUUGCAACAACAACAUUAAAUGCAGACCAAAGAAAAAUCAUAGAAGCAACUUCAGCAACUUGUUCUAUAUCAUCUUUACCUUCAUUGUUGUUUUUUCUUCUACUUUUGUGAAGGAAUGUGCCUCAGAAAUAAUAGGACAUUGGCUCUAGUGUUACUUAUGUUGCAUUUGCUCUUAUCACUUCUUUUAUUCUCUCUCUAUAUUCAACCAGAACCUCCAAUUUGGGGUGCUGUGUGUUUAAGUGUUAUUCCUUUCUUUGUCUUUGUUUAUGCCAUCAUUUUUUGGUGAGUAUUCAAUCAUCAUAUAUAGCUGGUAAGUGCAAGCAAAGCGAUAUUAGUUACCAUUUGAGAGUGAACUCAGUGGAGAAAAACAAUGCUAUUGGUGAUUUUUGUUUAAAAGUUUGAGGUAUUUGGUUACAUUAGCUGCAAUUUUUACAUUGUUCUAUCUGCAAGUUGUUGAUUUUUUUGGUUAUAAGAUGGUGAUAUCUUAUAAAGAAUGGGAUCUUGAUGCUAUCCAGUACCGGAGACAAAAGUUCUGUUUUUUUUUCUGCUUAUAGUUUUAAGGGUAGAAAUGUAAUCUCAUUAUAAAUAAAAUGAUACAAGUGUCAUUACAUUUUAAUUUUUCUUUGGUUUUGUAGGUAUUUCUCUCUCCAUCACUAAAGAAGAUUCUAACUCUCAAUAAUGAUAGAUAGUUUAAAUUAUGUAUUUUGAAGGAGUAAAUAGUCAAGAACAUUUAAUAAGUUGAGAUCAGUAUAUGCAAUAUAAAUACAUCUUUGCUCAUUAUAGAGGCAAAAUUAAUUUACUUUAUGCAAAGUUUUUAAGCCUUCUACCACAUUUGUUGCUGGUUUGAAAUAUAUUAUUUCAUUUCGCAGUGAACAUGUUUGUGCAUAUCCAGCAUGCAUUGGGAGGUUACAAUUGCCACAAUAUAAAUAUUCAUAUACUUUGAGUAUGAAUAUGUCAUUUACAAUUGCUGGUUGUACCAAUUCUUGUGCAAUGUGAUCAAAGGGAAAAGGAAAGAAAGAGUAAACCUGAUAUGUAAUAGCUGAGUAUAGUUUGAGAGAAAAUAAUAAAAGCAUGUAAUAUGAAUAAGGAACUUUAAAGAUCUAUUUUUAAUUAUUUUUUUUGUAGCACUAAAGCAGGUAAUGAACUAAUUCCUUCGGGACGCAUGACUGCUUUCUCAACGAAAGUCACUCAUAGGAAUCAAACAUUUGAUCUUUUUGUUGUAGAUCUUGUUUUAAUUAUAAAUAAAUCACAAGUUUUUGGUAUAAACUUUUUAAUAGAUAUAAUCUAAUUUAAGUUGAUAAGAUCACUAUUUAAGCUUGAACAACUAGAUACAAGUUCAUUUACGACCAUAUACUAAAGAAUUAAGAUUUUGAUUUGAUGAGGUAGCAUAGGCCAUGUAGUUUCUUCAAUAGGCACUUAUUAUGUACAUGAUAAAUUUAGAGUGAAAAUUUGCUUAUAUAAGUUGACGAAGUAUAAAAAAAACUCAAAAUGUGAGUAAAAAUUAGUGUUACUAAUAUCUGAUUGAUCAUCAAAUUGAUUAAAGUAUUGAUAUGAUGAUAUAAGUUUUUUUGUACUACCAAAAAUAUUUUAUCACCUUUUUGGACAAUGAACUCUCGACCUUGAGGAUCCAGUGAGGCGUUACCAGACCAACGCGUUGUUAAUAUAUAGUGAUAUAGUGGUUCAGCUAACUAAAAUGUAUACUGGUCAAAUUAUAUAUAUAUAUUUUUAUCUAAACCAUUACUUAAAAUAGAAUGUAAUAAAUAAUUUUAUUUAAAACAUUACUUAAAAUAAAAUGUGUAAAUUGGUACCGUACCAUAUUUUAGAAACUAUAAAUAAAUAUAAUAAGUGUAUGUUUGAUUCUCCUUAAUAACAUUUUGGUAAUAAUUAAAUCACUUUAAUAUAAAUUUUGUAAUUUAGAAUGAAAAUUAACUUAUAUAAUCAGUAUGAUUUAAAUAAAUAUGAGUUAGUUUGAUUUAUUUUAACUAAUAUGGUUACAUGACCAAUAUAAUUGUUAUAAUGUAUCACUAGAUCAAUUCACAAUUUUCUACUUUAACUGAAUAGUAAUAAGUUUUUAUGAUUAUGGAUUAUUUAACUCUAUUUUUGAUAUGUUUUUGGUCACUUUAAUCUUUAUAAAUAAUAUUUGGACACGCACUUGAUAUUUAAAGACUAAAAUAUAAAAAAAUUAGAACCCUUCACCCAUCAAUUUAAAAUUUAAUAAUAUUAGAAAAGUAAAUAAAAUAAAAACAAAUUCAAUUCUGAUUAAAAUAAAAAACUUGAAAACCACUUAAACCCUUUUUGUUCCUCUUGUCCACACUGCAGAACCCUUCACCCAUCACUCAUCCCCUCCAACCUUCUUUGCCGUAGCGCCGCCGCACUUUUCAUUCUUCCACCGUUUUCCGAAAACACCUCCAUCAUAACCACCGUCUCUCUAAUAUGGAACCAAAUCUCCUCUUCGAUCAAAGCUUUCCACUCUUCAAACCCUCCAAAAUUCCCACACCAGUCACCACCACCACCAUCUCCGCCACCGCCAAAAACCCUAACUCAAACCCCGACCACCCCGACGAACCCGACGACACGGACGCCCUUCCCGCCGCCACCGAAUCCGCCACAUUCGCCGACCUCGGACUCUCCGAGUGGGCAGUGAAAACCUGCAAGGAGCUCGGGAUGCGAAAUCCCCGUUCCGUACAGUCUCGAUGCAUCCCGAAGGUUCUAGAAGGCCGCCAUGUCCUCGGCAUCGAUGAAACCGGUAGCGGCAAGACUGCUGCAUUCGCCCUGCCAAUCCUCCACCGCUUAUCAGAGCACCCGUUCGGCGUCUUUGCUCUCGUGGUGACGCCGACGCGGGAGCUUGCAUUCCAGCUGGCAGAGCAGUUCAGGGCCCUUGGCUCCUGCCUGCACCUCCGGAUAUCUGUUGUAGUUGGUGGAAUGGACAUGCUCAAGCAGACUAAGGACUUGGUGGCCCGGCCCCACGUCGUUAUCGCCACACCGGGGAGGAUCAAGGUUUUGCUUGAGCAGAAUCCUGAUAUUCCUCCAAUUUUCUCCAGGACUAAGGUAAUGAUGAUGUUGUUGGUUUUGAGUUUUUGUUGUUCAUGUUGUAGUUAUAUUGUUAUGAUGUGCAAAUGUAGUGGAUUUUUAAUUGGAAAUAAUUAUGAUUUAUGAAUAAGGUGGCGAGCUUGUACUAGAAGUGUGUGUGAAGGGAAUUAGGAAAACUUGGGUUAGAUGGAUAAUAACCAUUUAGAAACCUUGCACCUUGAUUCCUUAAGGUUUUGUCUUUUAGGUACUUAGGUAGUAAUUAAAAAGAAGAUUGACUGGAGCAAUGAUGAAAGGCUUGAGACAAAGUCAAAGGGUUAUGAGACAAAGUGUAGGAGGGCAGUUAUCUAUAUGAUUUUCUAUUUCAUCACUGGGCUUCUGAAAUUAUUUUAUGGUAGUUUUAUGACAUGCUGUAUUAUUUGAAGCUUAAGAGUUUCACAACGGCUCUAAAUUGUCAGCUUCACCUUUUCUUUUUCAAGUACGACAGUUGAAAGGUUAUUAGCAAGCGUUAGUGAAGUAUAAAAAAUCUAAGGGUUUGUGAUACUUCUUUUUCAAGUUUUGAAGGAAUUGGAUUGCAGUUUCUUUGGGGUACAUUAGCCAAUAGGUUGCUGUUAAUUACAGGCAUUUUGAGGAUUACCCCUUUUGCUAGUAAAAAGAAACACAACUUUCUUGCUGUACAAGUAAACAUUUUUAAUGUACAUAGAAUGGAUUAGUUGAAAGAAAAGAGAGAAAGUGCAUAGGGUCUAAAGAACAUGGAAUCCUCCUGUAUAAAAUAAUGAAAAGAAAAUGGCACGGAAACCCAAAGUGGCUAUAAAUCCAACAAGUGAUCUAAUUAUUUCAAGGACAGCUGAGUGCUAUGAAGCUCCCACUAUGCACAGGUUCAUGGAAGAGUCAGGGUUCCGCUGUGUGUGUCUAUAGUAAGUAGCCUUACCUCUCAUUUCCAAGAGAUUAAUUCCAUUAAUCAAACUUGUGACCUUCUGGUCAUAUGGCGAACAAAGAAAAUGGUUGUGCCAAGGGUCCUCUAUGUAAGAAGUCCUCCAAAUUAAAAUGAUAAAAAGAAAAUGACAACCCUAAAUGGCUCAAAUAUGCAACAAAGCUAUCAACUCAAGUAGGCAUACAUCCGUAAGCAAAACUGCAUGGUCUAUGCUUGAACAUCAUGCAUGCUUUGUCUUAAUAAUUCAAUGAUUUAAUUUUAUCUUGUGCUUCUGCAGUUCCUUGUCUUGGAUGAAGCAGAUCGAGUCCUGGAUGUUAGUUUUCAGGAGGAAUUGAAAUUUAUCUUUCGGUGCUUACCAGAAAAUCGGCAAAAUCUGUUCUUUUCUGCAACAACGACAAGUAAUCUGCAAAAGUUGUGUGAGCGUUACCAAGAUAAGCUUUACAUCUAUGAAGCUUAUGAAGGCUUGAAAACAGUUGAAACACUUAAGCAACAGGUUAUAUUUAUCCCCAAAAAGGUGAAGGAGGUGUAUUUGAUGCAUAUUUUGUCUAAAAUGGAGGAGAUGGGCAUUCGAUCUGCCAUUAUAUUUAUCUCCACAUGCAGGUAUCUUUAUAGAUGACAUGUUUGCAUUUUUAGUAACCAAUUUUUGUUGUCUAUGUUUGGUUUGUCAUUAAUUUUUCUAGGUCCUUAAUUUUCUUUUGGCGCUCUAAGAUAAGUUGCCACUUCCAGCUAAUAGAUUUAACAGCCCUCUCCACUUUUGUUUAAUACUCUAGUUUGCAUUCCCUGGUUUAUCUAUGGACAACUAGUAGCUAAAGCUAGUAUCAGACAGCUCUGACUUCUAAUUACUUUUUUAUCUGAUUAAUACUUAGGCUAGUAUAUAAUUGUUUUAACUUCUCAUAUUGGUAGGUAUGAUUAAAUUUUAUUGUAUUGGUUAUUUCAAUUGUCUCCCUCUCGUGGCUAGAAAAUUCCUCCAUCGUUGAUUCUGAUGCAGAAGAAAAAAUUAUUUGCUGUUUAAGUUGUGGACACUUUAGUCUAAUUGAAUGUAUUUGUGGCCUGUUGGUAUGGUUUUGUGUGGUGGGUUAAUUGACAGAUGGUUAGGACUUGGGAUUUUUUAAGGGUGCCUCUGCUUGUUAGGAAUUGAGUGCAUAUCAGUUUCUCGCGUAAAAUAUAGAAUGGAUACCUUUCAGCCAAAAAGGAGGCCAUUAAUUAACAUUGACAUUUGGAAUGAAGUUCUUUUUAGUUGAUGGCUGAUCCAUUUUCUGUAUAUCUUAGAGGAUUUUCUGCUUGCUUCAUUGCUUGUACUACUAUAAAUGCUUGGAGCAUAUUAUAAAUGAUGCAUUUGUAGGAUCUCUAAAGAUCAAAUGUUCUAUACAGUUUAACUUUAACCUUAACAAUCUUUAGAGAUUGUUGAACUUAUGGAAAUGCCCUUUGGUGUGUAACAUCACAUGGAGGUUAAUGCUAGACAUCAUGAUUACAGAAAUUUUUGUUUGGCUAUAAGACUAUAAAUGUUAGUUGGGUGACCUGUUUUGAGUUGUGAUCCCAAAAGAUACGAAAGGUGACUAAAAUUUGGAGAAUUGUGCCCAUGGUUGUAUGUUAACUACACCACCUCAUUUAUUGUUCAGCAGGGGUUCAUUGACCGUCAAAGCUGUUUACCUUCUACAUUAAUAUGCUAAAGUGAUUAUUGUUAUUAUGUGUGGUAAAUAUAUUUUUAACUUUAUCAUUGAAGUUUGAAACUGAUAAUUAGUCAAAUUAUUUCAACUUGAGAUAAUUAUUGACCAUUUGCUGUCUUUCCCCGGAGAAUAAGAUAUACUCCUCUGUUUCAAGAAUCAAUGAGCCAUACAUCAUCCACGUGCAUUUGAAUAUGUAUUUUUUCCCAAACUUAUUAAUAAUUGCGAGCUGAGUGUUAAAGCUCUUAGUUUUUGUGAUUUUAAUGAAUUCCUUUUCUGAUAUUAUCAUUUGCCAGGUAUGGGCCUAGUUAUCGCGAUAUACACUCAUUGACUGCUGGCUGUUCUGCUUUGUUUUUUGAUAUAUCUCAGUAUCAAGCAUUGAUAGUAAUUGUUAUUUAUUGUUCUCAAAUUGUAGAGAUUGUCAUCGUUUAAGUUUAAUGUUGGAUGUGCUUGAUCAAGAAGCUGCAGCUUUAUAUUCGUUCAGAUCGCAGUCUGAGAGGCUUCAGGCACUACAACAAUUUAAAUCAGGAAAAGUUUCUAUACUGCUAGCAACUGAUGUUGCCAGCCGUGGUUUGGAUAUCCCUACAGUUGACCUCGUUAUCAAUUAUGAUGUUCCAAGGUUAUUUUUCUUCACCAAUAGUCUUUAUUUUCUUGUUAAAUUUUGAAGCAUUUGUUGAAAUGGAUUUCAACUAUUCAUCUGCAGGUUUCCACGAGAUUAUAUUCAUCGUGUUGGUCGUACUGCAAGAGCAGGUAGAGGAGGAUUGGCCUUGAGCCUUGUCACCCAGGUACACAGUUGACACAUAAUUGAAAUAAAAUUAGAACUAUAUUUGAGCCAAGCUUUUUUUUACUUAAAUUUGAAUGAAUUUUUUGUAAACAUGUUUUCAUUAUUUUUCUGGUAAUUCUUAUACUCAGUGGCUUUCAUGUUUACACCACUGCAUAUCUGGAACACUGUUUGUCUUUUCACCAUAGAUAGUGGAAGUCACGAGUCAAGAAGAUUGGAUUUAUGGAGAUUGAUUUCUGUUUUUUCCCCUUCUUGUCUUUCUUUUCUUCUGUGGAUGUGUACUGUAGGGGCAAUGAUUGAUGUAGAAAUCUUAGGUAAAGGUUGCAAAAAUAGUACAUAAACAAUAAACUUUCAAAUGUUCACUAAUACAUACAAAUACUGAUAUAAAAUGAUAAAUUUUUUUUGGCUUGGCAUGUUUAAAUGCCUUGCUAUCACUGUCUGUGUCAAAUGGCUACUUUUAUGGUGCAAUCUCCCCAAGGUCUGUCUGUAACUUAAAGGCAUCCAUUAUAUUUCAUGCAGUUUUGCCGUUUGCAAAGGGUAUCAGUGUCUAGGGUUAUUUCUAGUGUGUUUCAUAUAAUAUUGAAAGCAUUUUAGGGUCUAGUAUUGUAUUUCAUUCAUUUUCUAAUUAAGUCACAAUUUAAAUAUGGCAUUUGCAGAACGAUGUUGAUCUCAUCCGUGAGAUAGAAGCUCUUAUUGAAAGGAAAAUUGAACUGCUUGAAUACAAAGAAAAUGAAGUGCUAUCUCUCAUGAAAAAGGUACACUUUUUAUGGGGUAACUGUUGGUCUAGUGAUUCAAUUUCGUAUUUUUCCUUCCAAAUUUGCUGCCUUAAAUUAGGGCCUGUGUAAAGUUUUCUUUUUGGGUAUUAAUUUCCAAUUGGCUUAUUUGAUGAAUUGUAGGUUUUCAGUGCUAAGAAUGUAGCGCAAAUGAAGAUGUUGGAUGAUGGCUUUGAGGAGAAAGCAAAAGAGCGGAAAAAACAAAAAUUGAGAAUGCUAUCAGAGAAAGGAUUGUUGAAGAAAGGAAGUAAGAAGAGAAAGAGAAAUAAAGAAUUUAAAGAUGAAGGAAGAAAGCAGAAAAAAGAGGAGCCGGAAGCAUUAUCAGAUAAAGCAUCACUAAAGAAAAGGAGUAAGAAGAGGGAGUAAUAGCAUAUUUGAGGAACUAGUAGUUAAAAGGCACAAAUACUCUAGCACAAGGAUUAUUGAAGAAAAUGGCUUUAGAAGAGGCAAAAGUUAAAGCCGAAAGAAGAGGUGAGGUGUCAUUAAAGAAGUGGAAAGAAAGGAGCAAACGCCUAAGUGUUUUGGUAAGUAAUGAAAGUUACAGAAUUUGCUGUUGUAUUCACAUCUUCCUAGGGUGAUAGACUUUGAUUUCUCUGAGUAGAAGUGUUUAAUGGUAUGGGAAUUUUGUUAGGUAGAUACUGAGGUUAGAUAUCAGGAGUUGAAUAUUCCAUAUUAAUCAAAUGGAAACAAGUUCCUAGGGUUUUGACUCAGAGGAAUAUCUUACCAUUUCUUAACCUUAAAUGUAACUUCAUCUGAUUUUCUUGUCUUCAUAUUAUAUAUAUUUGUUUAAAAAAAAAUUGGGGUUCUUUGAUAUUGGAUGCCAAACAGGGACCAAAACAAUAGGACUGAAAUAACAUGUAUGAACAUUCCUAGCCAUUGAAGAGGCAAUAAACCAUCAUUUAGCUUCGCUGCAAAUGGAUUAAGCAGACUUAGCUCCAGAAAACUUCAGAGCUGAUAGCCAAGAAACAUAUACUAAUUUCCCCUGUUUAGUACAUUCAAGUCAUCUUUUUUGAGAAUGAACCAUAAAUUCAUUAUCUUACUAGCCUCAAUUUUGUAAGUUGUUUAUCUGAGUCUUCUAAUGUUCAUUUUAGAACAAAUUCUCGGAUGAGUCCUUGACACAAUGGUAAAUUGUUUUUUAAUGAUCAAGAGAUCAUAGGUUCAAAUCUUAGAAAUAACUUUUAUACAUGGAGGUUAACUGUGUCUACUAUCUCCAAACCCCACUACCUGAAAACUUCGUUCCCGUCCAUUUUCUCAUCCAAGUUUAAGCAUUCCUAUGCAUUUCUAUUCAAUUUAUGUUGAGUUAUAUCUAUUUUUUAGAAGUUGAAUCUUGGCUGACUCUAUCUAUUGUUUCGUUCCUUUCACAUGAUUACUUCUCUUUUUGUUUCUCGUGAGUAAAAAUAGUUCUCACAAUUCAUUUAUGAGAGUGAAAUAAUUUGAUUCUCUCUCCUCCUUAUGUUGUUAUUUAUCUAGAACUCGAACUUGGACCAACCUAAUUAAACAUGCUUGGUCUAUCUAACUAAUAAACAUUUUAGGUUGAGAUAUAUUUAUUUGGGAGAUUGUAGAGACAAUCUCAUAUUAGUAAAAUUUCACAUUCAAAUAACGUAACGAUUAAAAAAUUUCUAUUUUACUUAACUAAGACCUGUGCUUUUAACAACUUAUUAAUAUAGCACAUUUAUUUAUAAAUAUGUUAUUUAUUAUUAAAGGAUAUCUAGUUGGAAAAUAAAUAAAAACUAACUGUCUCACCCAAAGGUUAUUUGUUAAAUUUUAUUUUAUUAUUUCAAGACUAAAUAUUAAUUACAUUAAAAAAUUAUUUAACAACACAAUUAAUUAGUAAUGGUUAACAUAGUUAUUUAAGUUACUUCAAAAUCUUGACAUUUCAGACAAUUGUGGUUUAGAUGACUCUUAAAAUAUUCACAUAUUGGUUUGUAGCAAUCACUAAUCUAGACUUAAAACCUUGUAUGCAAUAUAAGAUAUAAGCUAAACUACGUUGGUUCUCUUAGUGCCCCUUUAUUUGUGCCAAUUUUAGUUACGAAAUUCUCAACCUAGGAACAACCACCUCUUUUCAAGAAUCAAGACUCCUAGGCACACUUAUGCAGAGGAGCAUGAACUCAACUACCAUGAUGGAAUUGGAUACUAAAUUCAACCUGUGCCAACAUAACAGUUCAAACUUUUUCAUUUCAAUCUUCAUAAGCAGCUGCAAACAAAUUUAACUACCAUGCAAUAUCUGAAAAGUAAUCACAACCAAUCCCAUAACGCAAGAGCUCAUACAGUCACAAAUGAAUACAAUACAAGAACCUAAAACGCUUUGGGAUUUCUCAAUGCAUCAGACUAAACUACAGCUAACUAAAAGGUAUUCAGUUGAUUUGUAAUAAUCAAAAGAUGCACCCUACUUACCAACCUAAUUGAAUUGUGAAUAAUGAUCAAGGAUCAGUUUCUUCUUGAUGUUGUAGUUGCUGUUGCGGAGGUUGUGCAUCCAGCCAUGGCAUGAAAGGCAUGGGAAGUCCAUGCUGCGGAGUAGAAUAUAGUGUAGUUUGAUCAACAAUUGGAUUUCCCAUGAUCAUCCCUGUAGCUUGAUCGAAAAUUGGAUUUCCCAUGUUCAUCCCUGUAGCUUGAUCGAAAACUGGAUUUACCAUGUUCAUCCCUGUAGCCUCAUCAAAAACUGGAUUUCCUAUGUUCAUCCUUGUAGCUUGAUCGAAAACUGGAUUUCCCAUGUUCAUCCCUGUAGCCUCAUCAAAAACUGGAUUUCCUAUGUUCAUCCCUGUAGCUUGAUCGAAAACUGGAUUUUCCAUGUUCAUCCCUGUAGCCUCAUCAAAAACUGGAUUUCCCAUGUUCAUCCCUGUAGCUUGAUCAACAACUUGAUUUCUCAUGAUCGUCCUUGUAGCUUGAUCAACAACUGGAUUUCCCGUCAUCAUCCCUGUAGCUUGAUCAACAACUGGAUUUCUCAUGAUCAUCUCUGUAGCUUGAUCAACAAUUGGAUUUCCCAUGUUCAUCCCUAUAGGUCCUACAGGAUACUGUGGUGGUCCAUGAUAAUACCGUGGAUCAGCUGGAGAACCCAAUAUUGGAAGAGUAUCCUUUGUUAUUCCAUGGCCAAGAGUAUCCUUUGUUAUUCCAUGGCCUUCCUCUUUCGACUCAUCUCUUUCAAAAAUAUCAGCCAAGAAAUCAAAAGCAUCCUUUCUAGCAAUAGCAGCUGCUAUAUCAUUCCUUUGUAGCAUUUUCCUCUUGUUCUCUAGGGUGUGGGCCCAAGAUCGCAAAGUCAAGUCCGUGGUGAACAUCUCACAAGCUUUCGAAAAUAAGAUUAGAGCUGUUGCUGAAAUCAUCCGGACGUCUUCAUCAGCCCUCAUUAUUCUUUUGAUCCGGGCUAGUGGGAAACUGGGGUUCUUGAAGUCAUAUGUUUGCUCAAUUUCUUGCAUUUGGCUUGCCCAGAACGUUUGAAGUUGCUGCUGUUGAUGGUGCUGAUGUUUUGGUUGAUGGUGCUGAAGUUUUCGUUCCUGGUAUGCAAGAUGGUGAGGGGAUGCACCAGUAUGGUAGUUAGAAGAAUACGCCAUUUGGCUACCAUCUGCUGCAAGACCUGCCGCGUGAAGUUGCUGCUGUUGAUGGUGAAAAAGUUGCGCUUGCUGGUAUGCAAGAUAGUGAGGGGUUGCACAAGUAUGGUAGUUAGAAGAAUACACCAUUUGGCUACCAUCUGCUGCAACACCUGUCGCGUGAUGUUGCUGCUGCUGUUGAGCAUACUCUGUUGCGUGAAGUUGCUGCUGUUGAUGUUGGUUUGCAUCAAUCUGGUAGUUAGAAGAAUACGCCAUUUGGCUACCAUAUGCUGCAACAUCCGUCACAUCUUGCUCCUGCUCUUGAGGAUCCUCUGGUUUAUCCAUGAUCAGUUACUGCUACUAGAUUUUAUCUUCUAGCUAUCCUCUCCUUGCAGUUCUAGUUAAAAAGGAAAGAAAGAAACCCUCAUAAAUAUCAUAUAAUAUCCCAAACUUCAAUAAACUGGAUUCUACAAAGGGUAAAAAAAAUAAUGGAUUAUGUAGCAAAGCUAUAACAAUCAUCUAGAGAAUCAAAUCAAAUGUUUAUGAAUUCAAUGUUAUUAUGGAUUCAGUGUUAACUACAUCAGAACUUAUUAAGAAACUGUGAUAAUCCAAUAGCAGUUAUGUACUUGCAUUUUUCUAUUCCUCAAUGAAGAACAACAGAUCAUAGGCCAUAGAAAGGAUGGAAAACAUGACAUUCUUACAGCACAAAAAAAUGCAAUUAAUAAAAAAAGUUGUUGCCUUCACAUUCCAAUUUAUACACAAGGAGCUGGAACCUUAGAAAGCAUACUACACAAUACUAGACUGAAUGUUGUCUUCAACAAAGCAUGUGGGUAAGGCUACUUAGCCUAAAUUGUACAUAGUCCUACCUCACACACGGAGAUACUGUUUCCAGAAUUUAAACUUGUGACUUCAUAGUCACUAAAUAACCACCUUAUCAAUAUGUCAAACUCACACCUAAGAGAGCAAAAUAAUCAUAGUAAUAGUAGUAGUAAAGGCGUAAUUCCAAUUGUAUUUAACAAAAUUGCCCAUAAGGAGAUAAAAAGUCAUUCUUGUGUUUUCAGGUCAGUGUUGCACAUUUGUGAUGUUGAUGAAAAAAAAUGAACACACAACUCCAACAGCUGUUAAGAUAUUACAAGUUAUCAUCAUAUCAUGCAUGCAGGGUUGGAAAAUAUGCAUAUGAUUUUAUUUUUUUUCCACGUCCAGUCACCAAAACUAAACUGAAAUCAAAAUACUAAAUUUCUGAAUAUGGCAUAAAUUCAUAAACUUUACCUCUACCAAAGCAAAGAAAAAGAUAAAUCAGCCUAAACUUUCCAUUCAUUCCCUUUACAGUUUUAUAAAAAAAUAGUUCAAAGUUGAAAUCAAAGAAUUUUUGCUAUUUUCUCUCUCCCAAGAUAUCACUUCUUAGUUUUAACACAGUUCCAUGCAACAAAAUAAUUACACAACUACAUGCUAGAUAAAUAAUAACACAAUCAUCACAUGUAAGAAACUAAUUAAACAAUAACAUGCAAAUAGAUAAAUAGCAAGAAAUGUGUUCAAAAAGGUAUUCUUGCAUUUUCUUUUUUGAAAAAAGAAAGAAAAAAAAGACAUUAAAAAUCAUGAAAUCACAACAAAAAUGAAAGAUAAGAAAGAGAAAAGGGAAUAAAUAUAACACAGUUGGUUAAAAUAGAGUUUCCUUGUAAAGCAAGAAAUAAGAACUAUGCAGAAGUGGAAGAAAGCAAAGAAUGACAAUUGAAAAAGAAUAAAGAGGAAGAAAUUUACGAAUGGAAAUUGAGGUUGAAUGAAUGGCAGAGAUACCGUAGAGAAAGGUUGAAUGAACUUCUAGUAUAAUGUCAGUUUGAGAAUUGAAAUGUAAUCAUGCUUUAUAGAAGAAAUCGAAGACUUCAGAGUAAUAUAGUUAUGAAAUGGUUUUAAAGUCUUCUCUUCUUUUCAUCCCACUUCAAAACUUAUUAGAGAAUGAUACUUAACAAUAAGUUGUUAGUUAGUUGUUAGAGUGUAUACUACUUUAGUUAGCCUCUCAUGUGUAAUGUUUCAAGUUUCAUUUUAAUAAAAUUUCAUUUCUCUCUCUUUUUCUCUCUUCCUCUCUCUCUCUUCUCUCUGACUUCCUUUACAAAACUCUACUCACAUGAACUUUUAGGAUAAAGAUUAUGAGAGUUUAAAAUAAGUAUUUUUUAGAUUAUUUUCUCUUAAUCAUGAGUUAGUAGUGAGUUAAAGUUCUUACAUAAAACUAAUAUAAUAAGAGACGAUGCAUUUUAUGAAAAUAUAAUGAUUCAUGUGAUUUGAAUUAGUUUGUGUACUUAAAACAUUAGAUUUUUGUAAAAUGAAUGACUAAAAUGUAGAGUAAUUUUUUAAUUUAAGUGGAUUCUCUCCCACAUAAAAUUACAUUGAAAAAUGCAAGGCUUAUUUAUGAAUUUUGGUUGAUAAUCGAGCAAGUAAAAGAAGCGGUACAAAAUUUACUGGGCAAAUAACAUUAUAAUUGUUAGCUCAAAUGUUAAAUUGCAGAAAUAAAGAUACUUAUUUACUUUCAGCAAUUGGAAGAGCAGGUGCGGAGUGACCAGAAAUUCAACAUAAUCAGCUAUUGCUGCCCCAUAUAAAUGCAUUAUAACAUUUUUUUGGGUUCAUAAUAAAUAUAAAUUGUAAUAUCUAUCUAUGGUUGGUCUAAAAAUUUAUAUAUAUAGUAAAUACAUUAUUCAACAUUUAUUUACAUUACAUUUUGUGAUAAGUCAAUAAUAAUUAGCCUGAGUGUGAAUGAUAAAAUAACAUGUAAACCUCUUUACAUUAUCAGUGCAUACAAUUUUCUCUCAUAAAUAUGUACAUGCGGAUUGCCAGUAUAUAUGCAAUCAGAAUAACCUAGGAUUGUAGGUCUAGAUUAGAUUUUAUCUUGGGAUUAACACUAAAGGGAUUAAUUUUCUAGAGCUCUUUUUUUAUCUGAAGUAGUGAGAUAUCCGUGCAUUCACAGUUUCGCAUGACAAUAUAUUUUACAUGAAAGCAUUUAAACAAUGAAAAAGUUAUUAAGGGUUACUCAUGAAAGAUGAUAUUUAUGUAUAUGAUUGAUGAUAUAGAAUUAUUGAGGAAUGACGUGGUGUUGAACAAAUUGUCUUAAUUAAAUAAGAAAACUGUUCUGAAGAAAAGUUUGGAAGAAAAUGCAUACGACUUUAGUAAUUGAUAACCAUAAUCUCUUGGGCCAUUUAAGCAAAAGUAUGUAUCUGUAGCAAAAAAAUCUGAUGCUACCAAUUCCAAGAGUUGAAAUGUAUAAAGAAAAGAAGAAUGAAGGCAAAAAGAAAGUAUAAUUAGCCAAACAGAAACCAAAAUGACAAUUUGGAACUUCCACUGAAGCAGUUCAACAUGCAACAAAUAUUUUGCAUUGUCUAGUUUUGGAUUCUCAAAAGAAAAGGAAAGCAAUAAAUAUGGCAAAGACUCAAGUAUAAUAUAGUUCUUUGGAGUACCAUUCAAUGAAUGAAUAUAACUAGUUUAUGUCAUUAGUCAUUUAGAUGCCUUGUGGCCCUGUGUUUUGGUUGGUAGAGCUGCCGCGGACAUUACACGCAAUCGACUGGCGAUCUCGGUAAAGGAAGGUCUAGCUGAAGGAUUGGGUGCCCAACAUUCCUCCAUUAGUGUUCUCCAUUCCUGAUCACAAUAACUUGGGAUUGUUGGCCUUAGUGUGUUAUUGACAAUGCCACCUGCAUGGGAAGAUAGAAGAACUUAGGACUUGUGUGAUAAAUAAAUGACUAAUUACAAACUUGAACAACCAAUGGAACCAAAUGCUGCAAAAUACCCUUGUCUUGUUCUUAAUCAUGUACCCAAAACUUGGAUCAUGUAUCCUUUAGCCUAACACAAAUAAAACCUAGAUGCCAAUGUCUAAAAAUCCUAAUUAUAAGGAUAUGUUUACAAGUCGUUUUUGGAGGAUAAUGUUAGGAAGGGAAAUGUUUGGGAACCAUAAAAUACACUUGUGUGGAGACUCUGAAGCUUUACAUUUUCCCAAGCCCAACUCACAAACAAAACCUAAAGGGAAGACGGUGUUUGGUUUGUUUUCGGUUCUUUCAUUUUUCAGUUAAGUUUUCAUCGUUGAUUACAAAAAUGAGGCAUUGUUUUCAUUUUGUUCAUUUUUUCAAAAUUGUGAAGAUAGUAAAAACAAGAAAAUGAUGUUGAAAACUGGAAAUAGAAUGAAAAGAGCACAGUGAAUGAUCAAACCUAUGAUUGCACCAUAGUGCAUAUUGGCAUAUGGCUCCUCAUCAGUGAGAAUCUCCCACAAUACAAUGCCAAAAGAGAACACAUCAACCUACAAAUCAAAAUUAAACUUCACCAACAGAAAACGGAAAGCAACAAAAAGGUGAAGAAAAACAACUCAGCUCGUGGUUAAAAUUUAGUUAUUCGUCAUGUGAUAGUAGAAAAAAGCAUUUCAUUAGAGACAACUUAAAAUUCUACCUUCUCUGAGACCUUGUUGCUGCUACCAUUUAGCAGCUCCGGUGCCAUCCAAGGCAAAGUCCCCCGCACACCACCAGAAACCAAGGUAUUUCGUUUAAUUUUCGACAAGCCAAAAUCACCUACCUGGGAAAGCAAAUGCAUUAGUCUCCUAGGCAGUUACAUAAGUGCAGAACAUUUCAAAUUUAUAGAAAAUUGAAGAAAAAAUAUCCCAGCAUAAAUACCUUGCAUAUUGGCCGUAAAGGAUCUUUUAAGUUCACGAGCAAAUUGUCACAUUUUAAAUCAAAAUGCACAAUAUUUUUUGAGUGCAAAUAUUCCAUUCCAAAAGCUGCGUCCAUUGCAAUUAUCAAUCUCUUGCGACGAUCUAGAUACCUGCAAUAAGAAAUCAUGCUAGGAUCUUUAGAGCAAAAUCCAUGAGUUUCACCACUGUACACUAAUUAUGACUCAAUAAAUUUUUAGUGGCAUUUCGCUCAUGACUUAAGCAGCUACAGAGAUAUAAAAGUAAAUCAAUAGACAAUUAAAUAACAUUAAUAUGAGGGAGGAAUUGUUUCAUCAAAUAAAGGGUAACAAUAAGUUGAUAGGAUAAGACAGAUAGAUAGAAUAAAAAGUAAACCAAAACCCCUUAUUACAAAAGUGUAUACGAGGCGCUCACGUGGCAUUUAGGAGGGAACUAACUGACUUUUGAAAAGUAAUUAGGAUAGGAAGUGUAUAAAAGGAGGGAAUGGGGAAGAGGAGAGUAGUUUUUGUGUAAGAAGUGAAUUGGUAACUGAUUUCUGGAAAUCAGUUGAGGAAUUGUCCUCUCUCUUUCUCUCUUUCGAUCUCUCUAUCUCAAACUUGUGGUUCUUCCACAAUUUCAAAUAAAGUACAGGAUUUAGGGUUUCCUAAUCCUUGUGAUUCAUUGAAUUCGUGUGUAUUCUUCUUAAUUUCUUUCUAAUUUCAAUACCAGUUUUAACAUAAGCCUUCAUCAUAUAAUAACAUUGCGCUAGUUUGGUUUAGAUUAACACCGAUCUUUAUAGGACAUUGUUUGAAUAAAGAAACUAAAUAAUAGAAACUUAAAAGCUCUUUCUAGGUGCAUUACCUAUCCUUGCGAAGUAAAACGUGCCUAAGAGAACCAUCGACCAUGAAUUCUGUAACAGUGGCCAUUGUUCCUCCUGGUCCAUUCUGCACCACACCAUAAAAUGCCACCACGUUUGGAUGGUGAAGCUUGGACAGAAUGUCUGCUUCCCGCCAGAAUUCUAGAGUCUGAAAGAAGAAGCAACUACCAUUUCACAUACCUCAAAAAUCCAUCACUAUCGUUGAAGCACAUUACAAAAGGUUAGUUGAUGGGAAAAGGUAAAAGGCAAAAAAUCAAGUAGGAUAUUGUCUUUCUGGAAAAAAAAGUGUAUUCUAUCCAACAGAAAUCAAAUUAUAAGUUACCAGUCUCUCUUGCUCAGAUGAUCGACCAGUGAAGCAGCUUUUCUUUAUUCUUUUAAUAGCAACAUCUGUUCCUCGCCAUUUUCCAUGAUACACAGUCCCAAAGGUGCCAGAACCAAGUUCCCUCAGCUCUUCAAGAUCUUCGUUCAUAAUGACCUACAAAAUGCAUCAGAAAAAUGAAAAAAUGCCAUGAAGAUUUUCAAGCUAGUGUUCAAGCAAGACAGUGAAUGAAUAUGUGAAGCCUCUGAACAUUUGUGAAGAGUUAAAAACAGCUAGUUGAUCACUAAUAGAAUAAUGCAUGUAAUGCAUUUUAGUUUAGUUAUUAAACUGUUGUAAUGUAGUUAGGUAAAGUAACUGAGUUAGUUUCUAACAGUCACUUUACCAUUUUGCCCUCUCUAGACUUUUCUAUAAAAGCAACUUUGCUUCCUAUUUGUAUUUAGUUUUCAUCAAUAAAAGUAAAUCAUCUUGUAACCGUCUCUCUCUAAGGCUUCUUCUUCUUCUUCUCUCUUCUCUCUUCUAUCUUCUCUCUCUACAUUUUGGUUUCUGUUUUCUUACAUGGUAUCACGCCAUGGCAACCAACAACAACACAACGACGUUCCGAUCCUCUUCUCCGAUUUCUCCUUCCGUCGCCUCGCCGCUUGAUGCAGUGUCUUCUCCACUCGUUCUUCCGACGCCAUCCAUGAAACUCACUGAGAAGAACUAUUUGGUGUGGAGACACUUCAUGUUAGCCACGCUAACCUCGAAUCGUGCUAAUCGAUUCGUUCUAGGGACGGAAAUUCCACAUCGCUUUCUUAACGAUGAUGAUAGGUUAAUUAAUCGCGUCAAUCCAGCAUACCUACGAUGGGAAGAACUUGAUCAAUGUGUAUUUUCAUGGAUCCUUAAUUCUCUAUCUGAAAGCCUUCAACCACGAGUGGUAGGUUGUGUUCACUCGUGGUAGUUAUGGGAGGAGUUAGAUUCGUUCUAUAAUUCGCAAACAAAAGCACGUAGUAGGCAGUUGAGAUCUCAAGGCUCAAGCUCCAUCUUCAAUUACUUCACAAAAAUCAAGAGUCUUGUUGAUGCUUUGAUCUUCAUCGGUACUCCGAUUUCUACCUUUGAACACAUUGAUUACAUUCUGGUUGGCUUAAAUGAGGAAUAUCAACCGGUAAUCACUUCUAUUGAAAGUCAAAUUGAUUUGCCUUCUAUUCACAACCUCGAAUCAUUUUUGUUUACAUUUGAAUCAAGGUUAGAGAAGAAUAAACACAAAACUAUUUCUGAUGCUUUGUCCGUAAAUAUUGCAUCUGAAUCUCCAUUGUCUUCUACUCCUGUUUCUUCUCAACCACGAGCAUCUAUCACUCCAUCAGUUUUCUAUUCUCCAAAAGCUGAAUCUCCUAAUCCGACGUCCUAUGGUUUUGGAAAUGCAAGUAAUUUUCGAGGUCAUCAUGGUCGUCGGGGUGUAAUGGUGGUCGUCACCGUGGAGGUCGUUAUUCCCGUGGAGGAUAUUCACCGACAUUUUGUGUUUACUGUAAUCGUCAUGGUCAUGAUGUUCCCUUUUGCUAUUAUGCAUCUCCACAUUUUGGACUAACAUAUACACCUCCAGCUGGACCUAUGUCACGUGUUGCACCUAGUUACGUGCCACGUCAUUCGCACUAUUCCUCUUUUCAGUCUACUAAUGGGCCAACAAGAUACCCAGCCCACUUUUAUCCGGACUAUCCAGCUGACUUCUAUAAUGGCAAUGGAGGACACUAUGGAUCCUCUAAUGCAAGGGAUUCACUACUUGGGCCUGGCCCAACACAUCCAUCAUCUCCACAUUAUCAUAACUAUCCCAUUUCAGCUCACAUUGCACACAGGGAGCUUCCCUCUUCUCCAACUCGAGAUGUCACAAUCACAAUGUAAAAUUCUGGUUUCUGUUUUCUUACAAUCACAAGGUCAAAUAAAAUGAGAGAAGGGAAAAAUCCAAGACACCAUACCAUAACAAAGAACUUAUUGAGUUGUCCAUAACUCCACUAGCUGAAAUUCAAACACACAUGCAGACACACGUACACACAGCUACCUCAGAUCGAAAUAUGAAAUUAUUAUACAUGGAUUUACACUGAUAGUUAAUAAUCACAUCUGUCUGGAAUCUCUUGCACAGUUCCUUUACUCAUACUUGAUGAAAAGAACGGUUAAAAACAGAUCUUCUAGCAUAUGUUAUAGCAAUUUUUAUUUAGAAUUAAUUUCCAGGGAACAAAAUUUGUUAAAAGUAACUUUUAAGGUGCACCAGUUAGGAGUGAAAACAAAAGAAUGAUAAUUGACAAGUAUUUGAAUACACUGUUUGUCUAUAUACAACCCAAAUUUCCAUUUCUUUGAUUUUUGGUCCUAUAAAGCAAACCCCUUAUUUUAAUUUCAAAUAAAUGAUUGAGAGAGAGAGAGAGAGAGCAAUUGAUUUCUAAAUUUCUCCACAAAUAUACUUUUCCUUCCAAGUGCUCUGAAAUUGUUAAGAUAUCGCCAAGGAUUUUGAAGUCUCAGAACAAGCAAGUAGCCAUUUAAGAAAACAACUCAGGAAAGGAGAAGAUUGCCUUAGACUGUAGGGCAUUAAUUUAAAGAAAAAAUGUUUUUGAAAUUCUUUUAAAGAGAAAUGUGCCUUAAUUACAAUCUCUAACAAUAUUUGUUCUUUUACAAUAAAGUAAAGAAAACUUAGAGCUAUUUCCUCUUGAAAACGAUGUAAACAAACACCAGAUUAAUGCUGCAAUAUAGAGAGCAAUGCAUGAAUCUUCAUGUAUCAUCAAUGUCUAGCUCACAUCACAAUUUUUUUUCAUCGUGAUACUACAGCUGAACCCACUUCCAAAGGUAAUUUGACUAACCCAGUGACCAGAUUUCAUCCACCCCUUUUGGUUGUAUGUAACAAA
rnacentral:lncRNA from 1 species